AGUUACUUAACACUGAUCCCUCGCUCACUUCACUAAUCUGUUCUAAACAAUUCUCAUGUCCUUCAGUAAUGGAUGUGCACUCAACAAAUGAGAGUGCUGUUGUAAUUCAGCAGAUUGAGGUAUUUUUUAGAUACUUCUACUUGCAGCACAGAGAACUGAUGGCCUUGGCAUGACGGCGGGGAGGAGUGUGGGUGGAGCCUGACCCUGCGCCAAGGGACUUCAGCGCUGGAUUCAGGUAAGUGACUGAAUAGGUUUUAACCCCUUCACCUCCGCGGGAGAAGGGGACCUAUUAAAC